UACGAAGGGGGCUAGCGUUGUUCGGAAUUACUGGGCGUAAAGCGUGCGCAGGCGGUUCGCUGUGUCCUGUGUGAAAGCCCCGGGCUUAACCUGGGAAUGGCAUGGGAAACUGGCGGGCUGGAGUGUGGCAGAGGGGGGUGGAAUUCCGCGUGUAGCAGUGAAAUGCGUAGAGAUGCGGAGGAACACCGAUGGCGAAGGCAGCCCCCUGGGCUAACACUGACGCUCAGGCACGAAAGCGUGGGGAGCAAACAGG
rnacentral:rRNA from 1 species